GUCCCGAUAGCUCAACGGAUAGAGCAUCAGCCUUCUAAGCUGAGGGUUAAAGGUUCGAAUCCUUUUCGGGACG
rnacentral:tRNA from 1 species